rnacentral:rRNA from 1 species
ACUCGCGGCCUAUCAGCUUGUUGGUGAGGUAAUGGCUCACCAAGGCGACGACGGGUAGCCGGCCUGAGAGGGUGACCGGCCACACUGGGACUGAGACACGGCCCAGACUCCUACGGGAGGCAGCAGUGGGGAAUAUUGCACAAUGGGCGAAAGCCUGAUGCAGCGACGCCGCGUGAGGGAUGACGGCCUUCGGGUUGUAAACCUCUUUCAGUAGGGAAGAAGCGAAAGUGACGGUACCUGCAGAAGAAGCGCCGGCUAACUACGUGCCAGCAGCCGCGGUAAUACGUAGGGCGCAAGCGUUAUCCGGAAUUAUUGGGCGUAAAGAGCUCGUAGGCGGUUUGUCGCGUCUGCCGUGAAAGUCCGGGGCUCAACUCCGGAUCUGCGGUGGGUACGGGCAGACUAGAGUGAUGUAGGGGAGACUGGAAUUCCUGGUGUAGCGGUGAAAUGCGCAGAUAUCAGGAGGAACACCGAUGGCGAAGGCAGGUCUCUGGGCAUUAACUGACGCUGAGGAGCGAAAGCAUGGGGAGCGAACAGGAUUAGAUACCCUGGUAGUCCAUGCCGUAAAUCGUUGGGCACUAGGUGUGGGGGACAUUCCACGUUUUCCGCGCCGUAGCUAACGC